rnacentral:rRNA from 2 species
UUUGAUUCAUGGCUCAGGAUGAACGCUAGCGGGAGGCCUAACACAUGCAAGCCGAGCGGUAGAGAUCUUUCGGGAUCUUGAGAGCGGCGUACGGGUGCGGAACACGUGUGCAACCUGCCUUUAUCUGGGGGAUAGCCUUUCGAAAGGAAGAUUAAUACCCCAUAAUAUAUUGAUUGGCAUCAAUUAAUAUUGAAAACUCCGGUGGAUAGAGAUGGGCACGCGCAAGAUUAGAUAGUUGGUGAGGUAACGGCUCACCAAGUCAAUGAUCUUUAGGGGGCCUGAGAGGGUGAUCCCCCACACUGGUACUGAGACACGGACCAGACUCCUACGGGAGGCAGCAGUGAGGAAUAUUGGACAAUGGGUGAGAGCCUGAUCCAGCCAUCCCGCGUGAAGGACGACGGCCCUAUGGGUUGUAAACUUCUUUUGUAUAGGGAUAAACCUUUCCACGUGUGGAAAGCUGAAGGUACUAUACGAAUAAGCACCGGCUAACUCCGUGCCAGCAGCCGCGGUAAUACGGAGGGUGCAAGCGUUAUCCGGAUUUAUUGGGUUUAAAGGGUCCGUAGGCGGGCUCGUAAGUCAGUGGUGAAAUCUCAUAGCUUAACUAUGAAACUGCCAUUGAUACUGCGAGCCUUGAGUAAGGUAGAGGUAGCUGGAAUAAGUAGUGUAGCGGUGAAAUGCAUAGAUAUUACUUAGAACACCAAUUGCGAAGGCAGGUUACCAUGUCUUAACUGACGCUGAUGGACGAAAGCGUGGGGAGCGAACAGGAUUAGAUACCCUGGUAGUCCACGCCGUAAACGAUGCUAACUCGUUUUUGGGUCUUCGGAUUCAGAGACUAAGCGAAAGUGAUAAGUUAGCCACC